rnacentral:rRNA from 1 species
AUUGAACGCUGGCGGCAUGCUUUACACAUGCAAGUCGAACGGUAACAGGUUAAGCUGACGAGUGGCGAACGGGUGAGUAAUGCAUCGGAACGUGCCCGGUCGUGGGGGAUAACGCAGCGAAAGCUGCGCUAAUACCGCAUACGAUCUGAGGAUGAAAGCGGGGGACCGUAAGGCCUCGCGCGAUCGGAGCGGCCGAUGUCAGAUUAGGUAGUUGGUGGGAUAAAGGCUCACCAAGCCAACGAUCUGUAGCUGGUCUGAGAGGACGACCAGCCACACUGGGACUGAGACACGGCCAAGACUCCUACGGGAGGCAGCAGUGGGGAAUUUGGGACAAUGGGCGAAAGCCUGAUCCAGCAAUGCCGCGUGCAGGAAGAAGGCCUUCGGGUUGUAAACUGCUUUUGUACGGAGCGAAAAGGUCUCCUCUAAUACAGGGGGCUCAUGACGGUACCGUAAGAAUAAGCACCGGCUAACUACGUGCCAGCAGCCGCCGUAA